GUGAAGUCUACGACAGGGAUAAGUAAAGAUAGCCCCUUUCAAUAAGCGAGUCAGGGAUGGUGGAAGCCUGAUGGAAAGCCUAUUUCGAAGAUCACCCUUGAGACCCUAUGCUGAACCAUUCAGUAGGUGUAGGCGCGUCAUUCACGUUACGAAUGCUUGAGCGAAUCAUGCAUACCUGUAUGUAUGAUUUACAAGGGUGGUACCGCGAGACCUUCUCGUCCCUUUU
rnacentral:ncRNA from 1 species